ensembl:lncRNA
AUGCAAAACAUAUUACAUCACUUUCCCUUCAUGAAUCCUUCUCUCAUUUGUCUAUGUCUGUUAUUUUCCUUCAGAGCUUUACUGGACAAUGAAAGUCUGAUGGGGGAUUUCUCUUCAACAAAUCAGCUAAGGAGUACCUACACAUCUGAUGGAGUCCCCAGCUCUCGAGGGGUUAAGCAAAGCUUCCAGACACAGCUGGCUACCAGUCACAUAAUCAGUCCCUUCUCUACCAUCCAUAGAGCAAGCCCACGAUCCAAUGUAACAACGAUGUCCGCAUCACCAAUCUGGACUCAAAACCAGGUGACCCUGAACGAAACACCUGAGAGUUGUCGAAAGACAGAGGAAGAGCAGGUUGACUUUGACUUAGGGUCCAACCGGCAGGUUAUUUGGUCAACGCCUUACCCCAAAGUACCACAGGAUGGAAUUUCAGUCGACCACUUCAGACCCCAAGAUGUCCAUGAAGAAGUCAACUAUGCUGAGCCUCUCUCACCUCCCACUGAAGAGGCAGGAGCUGAUGUUGUAUCUUGGCUUGGUUCUGACCAUAAGGAACAAUCCAUGUGGGAUUUAGAAAAGGAGGAAGAGGAUCAGAACAUAGUCAGAACCUGGGUUGCUAAAGACAAACCAGUUCUGGAACCUGCCAUGAGUCACCAGGUUGAGAUCAGCUUCAGUAUGCCAACUGUGUUCAGCACUGAUGCUCAAGAGCUCUACAGCCCUUCAGUGAGCGAUGAGAGAGCAGGUUCAGUGACAGGGGCACAUUCUGCUUUCUCGGCAAAUGAUGAUAAUGAUGUACCUUUUGAAAUGUCUUCUGAAAAGGAGGAACCUCUACUAGAUCUGCCUUACGGUCCCAUGAAUGCAUUGGAGGAAAGAGAUCUCGAAACAGCAAGGAAAGACGCUGAAUGGGUGGGGAAAGAAGGCUUGGAGUCUGAAAUUAAAUCAGUGCUAGAACCUGCAUUUGAGACCUUCACAAGCAGUCAAGCUUUUGAGUACAACAAGUCAAAAGAGUUCAACCAAGAGGACAAUAUGUCAUAUGCAUCUACUCAAGCCUCCCACGGUUCAGAAGAGGCAUUUCACCAUGUUAAAAGAGUGGAGGAAGAUGUUAUUAAUCUCACAAAAGAGGAUGAUGAAAACUAUAUGUCUAACAAAGAUGAGGAGCAAUUGGAAGAUGAAUUGCGCCCCUAUGGGUAUGGUAAGGAUGAUUGUGAAAGAUUGGCAGGGUUCAAUAAGGAACAUUGUGUGACAGAAAGAAUCGAUAAGUUCAACCGAGAGGCGAUUAUCUCAUAUGAAUCUGCUCAAGCUUCUCACUGGUCAGAAGAGGUAUUUCACCAUGUUGAAAGACUGGAGGAAGGUGAUAUAAAUUUCACAAAAGGGGAUGAUGAAAAUGAUAUGUAUAAUAAACGUGAGGAACAAUAUGCAUUGCACCCCAAUGGGGAUGUAGAUGAUGAAUGGAAUAGAGUGGGAGGAUACAAUGAAGAGAAUGGAAUUAGAGAAAGAAUGGAUGAAGGAAAGGAUCAAGAAGGAAAGGAUCAUAUGAAAGAGGAAGAGAUGUGGAAUAACAGAGAAACCCAACCAAAUCAGUCUGAUCAAGAGCAUAUACCUUCAAAUGUAGAGAAACUGAAUCAAUUUGAGCAAGAGCAUAUACCUUUAGGCAGAGAGAAACGGAAUAUAUCCGACAAUGACAAAGAGGAUCAUGAUGAGGCAAACUACUGUCAAAAUACUUAUGUUUCAUGGAGGGCUGAGCUAGAAGGUGACAGCUACACUCAGGACAACACACUGGCCGACACACACCCCCUGAUCCGUUACAAGAGUGACGAGACGGAUGCCAACACUCAGGCUUCACACAUGGGAGAAAGUGACUCCAGUGAUGGUGAACAGGACAGGGAGGUUUGCCAGACAGGAUCAGGCACCUGGGGCGAAGGCAAGUCCAAACAGUUUGACACCAUGGAGGAUCUGUAUGAAGAGUCAGAAGGGGAUGUCAUAGAUCAGGAAAGUAACAUGGGCUCCACUCACCAAGAGGACAUGGAUGCUAGCCAAACAAAGGAGCAUGCUACACAGGAGAACGAUGAGGAGACUGCAGUAGAUCAGUUGAUUCAGGAGGCAGAAGAGGAACAAUCCUAUGAGGACCUUACAGAACCUGGAGAGUACUCCAUGAUGUGCUCUGAUGAGGACAAUAAUGAAGAAAGAAUUGAUAGAUUGGUAGAGCAAGAAUUAGAGAAUUUAUCUAUAUCCAGUUACAGUGAACACUUUAAUGGGCAGAUGAUUGAGAGCGAGUCAGUACUGAGUCUUCAAAUUGGGUCUCACACUGAACUUUCCCAGACACAAGACAUAUUAUACAGUGAGGAGGUAGAGCAGAUACACUCAGAGAGACUGAAUCAAUCUGAACAAGAGCAUACGACCUCAGGCGGCGAGGAACUGAAUCAAUCUGAACAAGAGCAUAUGACCUCAGGCGGCGAGGAACUGAAUCAAUCUGAGCAAGACCAUAUGACCUCAGGCGGCGAGAAACUGAAUCAAUCUGAGCAAGAGCAUACGACUUCAGGCGGCGAGAAACUGAAUCAAUCUGAGCAAGAGCAUACGACUUCAGGCGGCGAGAAACUGAAUCAAUCUGAGCAAGAGCAUACAACUUCAGGCGGCGAGAAACUGAAUCAAUCUGAGCAAGAGCAUACGACUUCAGGCGGCGAGAAACUGAAUCAAUCUGAACAAGAGCAUACGACUUCAGGCGGCGAGAAACUGAAUCAAUCUGAACAAGAGCAUACGACUUCAGGCGGCGAGAAACUGAAUCAAUCUGAACAAGAGCAUACGACUUCAGGCGGCGAGAAACUGAAUCAAUCCGUGCAAGAAUAUAUACCCUCAGACGGAGAGGAACUGAAUCAAUCUGAACAAGAGUAUAUACCCUCAGACGGAGAGGAACUGAAUCAAUCUGAACAAGAGUAUAUACCCUCAGACGGAGAGGAACUGAAUCAAUCUGAACAAGAGUAUAUACCCUCAGGUGAAGAGGAACUGAAUCAAUCUGAGCCAGAGUAUAUACCCUCAGGUGGAGAGGAACUGAAUCAAUCUGAGCCAGAGUAUAUACCCUCAGGUGGAGAGGAACUGAAUCAAUCUGAGCCAGAGUAUAUACCCUCAGGUGGAGAGGAACUGAAUCAAUCUGAGUCAGAGUAUAUACCCUCAGGUGGAGAGGAACUGAAUCAAUCUGAGCCAGAGUAUAUACCCUCAGAGGUUAUGUAUUCAAUGCACUCUAGGAUUCGAAUGACACCUGAACACACAUCUCUUAGAGAAAGUUCAGCAGAAAUAUCCAAAGCAGAAUAUUUGGCUCAAGGUAAGGUCUUCAGUGAGGAACUGGGAACUGAAGCUGUACCAGACAAAAUAGAAGGACAGGAUGACCAGAACCUUUCUAUGCUGACUCAUGCAGACUUUACUGAAAGCCAUUCUAUCCACAGCAGUUUAAACAGCAGGCCUGAGAGUCAAACCAACAUGAACAACUCGGAUAUAGAAGAGUCCAACAGCACAGAUGAUGAGUCUCCAAAUGCAAGCCAGUAUUUGCAACGUGCCAACGAAGCAAAUCUAACUGCAGAUCAGGUAGACUUGUUAGAUGUGGCGGUCUCUCACUAUGAGGAUUGCAAUGCUCUUAUAGAACAUUCUGCAGAGGAGGUCACUAGCUAUCAGGCAAGUCAUGAAUGUCUUCAGACAGACAAAUGGGAAGUCUUAGAAAGUCCAAACAAACACCUGGAAUCUGGAGAUCCUUUUGCAGGUCACAAGAGAGACUCGGAGAGAUCAUCCAAAACUGACAGCAAAGGCCGGGACCUCCACAGCUUCCUCAGCUCUGGUGUACACAGCAACUUCUGGGGUUCCAAUCUGGAAACAGGAGCCUCCUAUCAACCGGACGAGCCAUAUGACCAUGUGACCAAGCUACCCAAUCAGAACCUAGCCUUGGCUGAUAACCUAUCCUGGGUGGAUUUGGAAUCCACAGGCGGCCAAUUGGAACAUAAAGAUGGACAGUGACACAUCUAAAGCUUCCACCCUUGAAGAAGAGGACAAACAGAUGCCCUCACAGGUGAAGCAGCUGGUGUGUAGAGAUGUAGUAGAGGGUGUGAAUGUUACUUCUGAAGGUUCUGAAGAUGAGGGAGACUCCAGGUCAUCUGGGGAAGAAUAGGAACAAUUUCAGCAUGGUUUCUAUAAGGAGUAAAGUAGAAGUAACAAGUGUUAUUGAGAGUGUAAUACUAUUUACACUUUACAGGCUUUGAAUAUGAGCAUUGAUUCACAUUGAUCCUUACAGUGAAAAGUAAUUGAAAGGAUAAUAUGUCACAGAAUGUCAUGACAAUUCAGUGCUCUCUGGAAUCCUUGGGAUGUUCCUACCCUAAACCCCAACCUUAACCCCUACCCCACCCUUACCUUAACCCUAAAUAUAACCAUAACCCUUACCUACACCAUUUAAAAUGUCAACUUCAAUGGGGUAGGGACGUCCCAAGGAUGCGAGAUAGCAUGGACCGUCAAAUAUUUAUGCUGUUUUCAAAAACCAAAGUUGUGCCUUGGUGCACACCCUGCUGACACUAACCACCAGUGUACCUACUCCAUUUCAAGACAUUGAGGGCCAUUUUUGUAAGUUUUACAAAUGUAUGUUUGAAUAGCCAUUUUUCUAUUCUUUGGAGAACAAAAGUAACUUAGUUAAAAACCAAAUAAAGGACAUUUGAAAGUCAAAGCAUUCUUGAUUUGAUUGCACUGAUUGAAGGAAAUCAAUUAGAGAAAAAGUGAGAACCCAGGUAUUUCAAUGCACAAGACCUGGGAGCCUGUUUUUCUAGUGGCAACUUUUAUCUUAACAUCGUAAGCAAGUUUAUUUGAUAAGGACUCCAGUUGAUAUACACAGUACCUUCAGAAAGUACUCAUUCCCCAUGACUUACUCCAAUGAGAAGUGUUAUUUAUGAUUAUAAUUUGAAUUACAACUCAAACACUACAAGCAGCAGUGCAGUGGUUUGAAAUCCUAGAAGAACAGCUUGCCUUCAUUUUAAUAAAUAUAACUAACAGACAAUGAAACAACAUGGUACCAUAUUAGCUAUGCUUUGUUAACCAUUACGGAAAAAAACACUUGUGUUGUUUUUUGGCUAGUGUUCUUUGUAGAAAUGCACACAAAAAAAAAUAAAAUAUAAAACUAAUUGACAAAUAUGUUUAUAAUUGUAUAUUUGCUUAAGAACUUUUUAUGACUUAUUUCAUGAUGCAGUUUUGAUAUA